CCUACGGGAGGCUGCAGUGAGGAAUAUUGGUCCAUGGGCGGGCGCCUGAACCAGCCAAGCCGCGUGAGGGAAGAAGGUACAGCGUAUCGUACACCUCUUUUGUCAGGGAACAAAGGCGGGGACUAGUCCCCGGAUGAGGGUACCUGAAGAAAAAGCAUCGGCUAACUCCGUGCCAGCAGCCGCGGUAAUACGGAGGAUGCGAGCGUUAUCCGGAUGUAUUGGGUGUAAAGGGUGCGCAGGCGGCCUGUUAAGUCAGCGGUAAAAGCCCGGGGCUCAACCCCGGCGAGCCGUUGAAACUGGCGGGCUUGAGUUGGAGAGAAGUACGCGGAAUGCGCGGUGUAGCGGUGAAAUGCUUAGAGAUCGCGCAGAACCCCGAUUGCGAAGGCAGCGUACCGGCUCCACACUGACGCUGAGGCACGAAAGCGUGGGUAUCGAACAGGAUUAGAUACCCUUGUAGUC
rnacentral:rRNA from 1 species